AGGUGCAACCUCAGCAUUAGGAUUAGGAGAAAAGGCAGUUGUAGAACCAUCCACGGAUUCUGAGAGUACCUCCAAGAUUCAACUACCGAACUAUGUUGAUCAGUUAUCUGGAGCUGCAGGUCAAGGAGAAAAAAAUACAUUAAAUGGACAAAUAGAAAAAGAAGGAAGAGAAGAGUGUUUGAAAUGAGAUGGGUAUGAAGUGAGCUUCUUCCUGCACCAAAGCUUGUCCGGGAAGCACAGCAGAAUGUUCCACCCCCGCCCCCCUGAUCAUUAGGAAGGCGGUGAGGACUGCGGUACCUGAUCACGCAGAGCUGGGUGUACCUGCCGUGGAUGAGCAUAGGCAUGUGUGGUCAGCUGUAAAUGUGUGGACCUUCGUGUCAUGCAGCGUGUUGCUGCCAUACAGGAUGGUGUCUCAUAGGCCAACAGAAGAGUGGGAAAGAGGAAGAGAGCAGGGUGCGUUCCGGGGAGGUCAGGGGAGCUGGAGCCUGGUAAAGAGUCCGUUGGAAAGUCUGCAACUUCUGAUGCAGCUUUUGGGGAAGUGUUACAGUGAGGCGCGUGAGGCUGGAUUUCAGAAGGAUCAAUUAAGUCCAAGUGCUGUAGAAGCAGACUCGGUAUAGACCAGAGUUUCUCAAAUUUUACUCACUCACCUGAGGACCCACUGAAAACUGCACACUCUGAGCAGUGGGUCUGCGUUUCUAACAAGCUCAGGUGAUGCCCUUGUUGCCGGUCUUCAGACCACGCUCAGAAGGUAGACUUGUGUUUAGAGGAAACAAAAGAAA